CCUACGGGGGGCAGCCGUGGGGAAUAUUGGACAAUGGGGGCAACCCUGAUCCAGCCAUGCCGCGUGUGUGAAGAAGGCCCUCGGGUUGUAAAGCACUUUCAGUGAGGAAGAACGCCUGGUGGUUAAUACCCAUCAGGAAAGACAUCACUCACAGAAGAAGCACCGGCUAACUCCGUGCCAGCAGCCGCGGUAAUACGGAGGGUGCGAGCGUUAAUCGGAAUUACUGGGCGUAAAGCGCGCGUAGGUGGCUUGAUAAGCCGGUUGUGAAAGCCCCGGGCUCAACCUGGGAACGGCAUCCGGAACUGUCAAGCUAGAGUGCAGGAGAGGAAGGUAGAAUUCCCGGUGUAGCGGUGAAAUGCGUAGAGAUCGGGAGGAAUACCAGUGGCGAAGGCGGCCUUCUGGACUGACACUGACACUGAGGUGCGAAAGCGUGGGUAGCAAACAGGAUUAGAUACCCUAGUAGUC
rnacentral:rRNA from 1 species